rnacentral:tRNA from 1 species
GGGCCGCUAGCUCAACUGGCAGAGCAACAGACUCUUAAUCUGUAGGUUUGGGGUUCGAGUCCCCGGCGGCUCACCA